CUGCUGAACACCACCACAAAGGCUAUUUUUAGUGCCACAUUUCACAUCGUCUUUGGCUUUCUGCUGAACACCACCCCAAAGGCUCUUUUUAGAGCCACAGUUCACAUCGUCUUUGGCUUUAUUUUUGCAUUGUCCUGCACUGCCUCCACCACAGAUUUUUUUUUUCUGCCAGCGU